rnacentral:rRNA from 1 species
UACAGAGGGGGCAAGCGUUGUUCGGAAUUACUGGGCGUAAAGGGCGCGUAGGCGGCCCGCUAAGUCGAACGUGAAAUCCCCGAGCUCAACUCGGGAACUGCGUCCGAUACUGGCGGGCUUGAAUCCGGAGAGGGAUGCGAGUACUCGAGUGUAGCGGUGAAAUGCGUAGAUAUCGUGGAGGAACACCGGUGGCGGAAGGCGGGCUGCUGGCCGAUG